GACGAACCGUGCGAACGUUGUUCGGAAUUACUGGGCGUAAAGCGCGCGCAGGCGGUUGGGCGCAUCGGCGGCGAAAGCCCCCCGCUCAACGGGGGAGGGUCCGUCGAGAUGGGCCGACUGGAGGCAGGGAGAGGUCAGUGGAAUUCCGGGUGUAGUGGUGAAAUGCGUAGAGAUCCGGAGGAACACCAGUGGCGAAGGCGGCUGACUGGACCUGACCUGACGCUGAGGCGCGAAGGCGUGGGGAGCGAACGGG
rnacentral:rRNA from 1 species